rnacentral:tRNA from 1 species
AAUUAAUUAGCUUAUAACAAAGUUUAUAUUUUGAAAAUAUAAGAAAGAAUAAAAAAUCUAUUAAUUU